rnacentral:rRNA from 1 species
ACUCCUGCGGGAGGCAGCAGUGGGGAAUUUUGGACAAUGGGCGAAAGCCUGAUCCAGCAAUGCCGCGUGAGUGAAGAAGGCCUUCGGGUUGUAAAGCUCUUUUGUCAGGGAAGAAACGGUGAAAGCUAAUAUCUUUUGCUAAUGACGGUACCUGAAGAAUAAGCACCGGCUAACUACGUGCCAGCAGCCGCGGUAAUACGUAGGGUGCAAGCGUUAAUCGGAAUUACUGGGCGUAAAGCGUGCGCAGGCGGUUUUGUAAGUCUGAUGUGAAAUCCCCGGGCUCAACCUGGGAAUUGCAUUGGAGACUGCAAGGCUAGAAUCUGGCAGAGGGGGGUAGAAUUCCACGUGUAGCAGUGAAAUGCGUAGAUAUGUGGAGGAACACCGAUGGCGAAGGCAGCCCCCUGGGUCAAGAUUGACGCUCAUGCACGAAAGCGUGGGGAGCAAACAGGAUUAGAAACCCCUGUAGUCCCAUGAU